rnacentral:rRNA from 1 species
GACGGAGGAUGCAAGUGUUAUCCGGAAUCACUGGGCGUAAAGCGUCUGUAGGUGGUCAAAUAAGUCAACUGUUAAAUCUUGAGGCUCAACCUCAAAAUCGCAGUCGAAACUAUUCGACUAGAGUAUAGUAGGGGUAAAGGGAAUUUCCAGUGGAGCGGUGAAAUGCGUAGAGAUUGGAAAGAACACCGAUGGCGAAAGCACUCUGCUGGGCCGACACUGACACUGAGAGACGAAAGCUAGGGGAGCAAAUGGG